CUUCUUAGGUAAUGCUGGAUAAGGGUCCCUUGAAGGGUAACCUUUAAGUGCAAAUCGGGUGAAUUGCUGGAACUUCCUAAAGCUCUGCUUCCUACAACGUAAUCCGAAAGGAUAGGCGUGACAGGUUAAAAAGCAGCAGAGAUGUAACAAUGGAUAAUCAGCAGCCAAGCUCCUGUUCCGAAAGGAUGGAGAAGGUUCAACGACUAGGACGAACGGCCUACGGCAAUUGAAAAUUUAAAAUUGAAAAUGUAAAAUCAAAAAACUUCAAUUGUACGGCUAUGAGGUCCGUAGGGGUUAGAGGUUCUCCGAAGUGCCCGGCAACCGAGUUAAUUUACAAUUAACAAUGCACAAUUUACAAUGGGAAAACAGUUAAUAAUUCGGUUGAAGAUAUAGUCUGGCAAGUAUCGAAAGAUAUUU
rnacentral:ncRNA from 1 species